rnacentral:rRNA from 1 species
UCCAGACUCCUACGGGAGGCAGCAGUGAGGGAUAUUGGUCAAUGGGGGAAACCCUGAACCAGCAACGCCGCGUGAGGGAAGACGGUUUUCGGAUUGUAAACCUCUGUCCUCUGUGAAGAUAAUGACGGUAGCAGAGGAGGAAGCUCCGGCUAACUACGUGCCAGCAGCCGCGGUAAUACGUAGGGAGCGAGCGUUGUCCGGAUUUAUUGGGUGUAAAGGGCGUGUAGGCGGGAAUGCAAGUCAGAUGUGAAAACUAUGGGCUCGACCCAUAGCCUGCAUUUGAAACUGUAUUUCUUGAGUGCUGGAGGGGCAAUCGGAAUUCCGUGUGUAGCGGUGAAAUGCGUAGAUAUACGGAGGAACACCAGUGGCGAAGGCGGAUUGCUGGACAGUAACUGACGCUGAGGCGCGAAAGCGUGGGGAGCAAACAGGAUUAGAUACCCCAUU